rnacentral:tRNA from 12 species
CAUAGCUCAGUCGGUGGAGCGCUGGCUUGCUGAGUCAAAAGGUCGUUGGUUCGAGUCUUCCCAUA